rnacentral:rRNA from 1 species
UUAAAGAGUUCUAUAACUCCCAAACCCAUGUGAACAUACCAAACGUUGCCUCGGCAGGUCGCACCUACCUUGUAGCACCCUAUCCUGUAAGGCCUACCCGGGACGUGCGGGUAAGCCUGCCGGCGGCCCAUUAAACUCUGUUUGAUAUUGAAUUCUGAACCUAUAACUAAAUAAGUUAAAACUUUCAACAACGGAUCUCUUGGUUCUGGCAUCGAUGAAGAACGCAGCGAAAUGCGAUAAGUAAUGUGAAUUGCAGAAUUCAGUGAAUCAUCGAAUCUUUGAACGCAUAUUGCGCCCAUUAGUAUUCUAGUGGGCAGGACCGUUCGAGCGUCAUUUCGACCCUUAAGCCUUAGUUGCUUAGUGUUGGGAGCCUACGGCGACGUAGCUCCUCAAAGUUAGUGGCGGAGUUGGUUCACACUCUAGACGUAGUAAUUUUUUAUCUCGCCUAUUAGUUGGACCGAUCCCCUGCCGUAAAACCCCCAACUUCUCAAGGUUGACCUCGAAUCGGUUCAGACAAACUCGCUAAAUUGAAGCAUCUUAGUCAGCG